GGAAAUUCUCAAGAAAGCUAGAAUCUAUACACCCCCAUCGGUGGAUACUGCUGCAAAUGCAAGUGCCAAGAACGAAGCACCACUUUCUUCAACCUCGCAAGGUUCGGUUUGAUUUCAUUGUACUUGUUCUAAAAAUUAAGUUUGUAAUUUACAUCUUUAAGAAAAACCCCAUUGUUGUCUUUGUUGUGAUUAUGACCAAUAAUUGAUUUAUGGAAGUUGGUCUUUAAGAAAACUUUUGUUUUUGAUGUGUUGUGAGUGUCAUUAUAGUAAAUUUGACCAACAUGUGAGAGCUGCAUUUAAUAGCCGAGUAAAAAUCUCAGAUAGCUGGUUGGGGCUCAGCUCAGGGUGUAACAUACCCACUGAAAAUAUAUAUAUAGUAGUUGUUAAAUAAGUAAUCUAUAAAUAAAUAAUAGUAUAAGAAAUUAUGAUCGUUUUUAGAGAAAAUUGCCUGACACGAAAAUACAUAGGAUUAUUAGUAAGAGUAUAUGAUUAAGUUAAAAAUUUAGUAUUUAAGUUUAGGAAUUAAAUUGAAUAAGUUAGAAAAGUAUAGAGACUAAAGUGUAAUUAUUCUAUUUUUAUUUUGAUGGAAAGGACAUAAUGACAAUUUUUCUAUUACUUAAAAAAAAUUAAAAGUUUCAUGAUGACUUUAAAUGAUAUUUUCAUUAAAUAAUUAUUAUUUAACAUUUUAUUUAAAAUAAUAGUAAUUUGUUAAAUAUUAUAAUAUAUAUAUAAAGAGAGAAAGAUAAGUUCUUUCUCAUCUUUCUCACCAAAGAUUGGGGAAAAUAAAGAAAAGAAAACCCCUUUCAUCAUUUUCCUUCAAUUUCAAGCUUAAGGUAUGCUUUUUCUUCAAUUUUUUUUUAUAAAUUUUGAAUUUUUGAAAUUUGCUUUACAUAUAUAUACCAAUAGUUUUUUUUUAUCAAGUAUUUUGGAAGUUGCCAUUAAAGGACAUUGAUGGAAGCUUAGAAAACUUAAGUGAAAUAGAUAAAUUUUUGGAUAAGAAAUUAUUAGAAGAUGAAUUCUAGCUUCUUAGAAGUGUGAAAAAGAAACAAAAAUGGAUGAAACGUUUAUUUGGUAUAUUUGGUCAUGCUAAAGGGGAAGUAGAGAAUAUUGGUCAUUUUGUGUAACUGUUACUAAAUGAUAGCUUGUGAAGCAGUGAGUACUUUGGUGAAGACAGAAUUGAAAAUGGAUAAUCGAGUUGAAAGAUAUGCGAAUUUCGAACUAGAAAACUUAAGUUGUUAAUAUGAAUAAUCAUGCAUAUUUAAGUUUGUUUUUAUUAGUUUUAGUUUUAGAAUGGAUAAAUGAUGUUGUUUUGUAUUGAAUUGCUCCUAUUGUAGCUAAAAGUGAAACGAACAUCUUGAAGGAGAAAGACGAAAAAUGUAACUGCUUAAUUUAUUUUCAUUUCUGUAAAUCUUAACACAAAUGUGUAUUUGCUUCAGUGGUUAAGUGUUCUGGGUGUGUGUAGGAGGUCUUGGGUUCAAGUCUCCCUUUUGCCAAAUUUGUUAUUUUAGAUUCAAGCCUUAUCCUUAUUGAGUGGGCUUAUAGAAAAUUGUUUAUUAAUUCAUAUUAGAAUGAGUUUGCUGGUUUGAGUGGUAAAAAGUUAGUGUGUUAGAGGUCCUGUGUUCAAAUUCUUGCACGAGCGUGGAUGUUAUUUUUGUUUCGGUUGGCUGAGAGAGUUUGAGUAGUCUUGAAAUUCUGAGGUGGAGUCGUUAGUGGGGUGCUGGGAUUGUGAUCAAAUUUUUUAUUUUGUUUUAUUUUUUUUCAAAUUUUCUCUCUCUUCUAAAAGAAAGUCUGACGUCAAUUUUGUUAUCCCUAUUCUCUAUAUUUUCGUCCUUUCUCCCUUUUACUAUCUCUUCCUAUUCUAUUCAAACUGUCAUCAAAUCUUUGCAUGUUAGGAUUCUGUCUUCCUUCGUUCAUUUGGUAAGUGAGAUUUUGGUGUUUCUGUAACUUUUGAUUUCCAAAACGCUAGUUAGGGUUAUACCCUUUUGUUUUGGGCGAUUUGGUGUGUAGUAAGGGAUUGAUUUUCGUAAAUUUGUGGUGUAGGAGAAGGUGGUGAGCGGUUGAGUUCUACUCCGACAGCUUAAGUCGCGCUAGUGAUUGUUCGUGUCAUUGGUAAGCUAUGUGUGUUAUUUCAGGAUUGUGUCUCGAUUCGUAAAUUGAUUGCUAAUAGGCGAUUGGGAUGCUAUUUUUUAAGUUUUGAAGGGCUCGAGGUUGCUGUUGCAUCUAAA
rnacentral:lncRNA from 1 species